ACGUCGGCACUUUCGGUGUCGCUUCUGGAAAAGAUUUGAUCGACGUGGUACGGCUUUAUUUAGCACUAAAUUGUUUUUUUUUUUGUUUCUAAAGGAGGGAAAGUGUUAUUUGGUUUUGGUGCGAUAUUGGGUGAGGAUUUUGUACCAUGUCGAUCAAGUCGUGGCCACAAAUACUCACGAUUCGCCGAUGUUUUUCGGGUCUUGGCCCUCUGUAAGUAAUAAGAGUGUGAUUAAAGUGUGGUUUCACUCGACUGCAACUAAUUGAGGUGAUUGAAACGCAAUUCUCUCAUAUACUUUUAUUUAUAAAACAAUUUAUAAUUAUCGGUCAACUUAUUUCUAAAUAUUUAAGUACAUAUAACAUACAAAAUUUUUACAUUAAUAUCAUUUUCAUCUCUUAAAUAUAUAAUUGUUUUAAACAGCGUUCUUAACACUUGAACGAAUUGCUAAGAAAUGUGUAUAAAUAAUCCGAGAAUGGGCGAAUAAAUAGA